rnacentral:rRNA from 1 species
GACGUAGGGGGCGAGCGUUGUCCGGAAUUACUGGGCGUAAAGAGCGUGUAGGCGGGCUGUUAAGUCAGGUGUGAAAGACCGCAGCUCAACUGCGGGGUGGCACUUGAGACUGGCAGUCUUGAGGGCAGGAGAGGGAAGUGGAAUUCCUGGUGUAGCGGUGAAAUGCGUAGAUAUCGGGAGGAACACCAGUAGCGAAGGCGGCCAUCUGGCUGAUAACUGACGCUGAGGUGCGAGAGCGUGGGGAGCAAACAGG